CACGUAGGGGGCAAGCGUUGUCCGGAAUCAUUGGGCGUAAAGCGCGCGUAGGCGCCCGAUCAGUCCGCUGUAAAAGUCCAGGGCUCAACCCUGGAAAGCCGGUGGAUACUGUCGGGCUAGAGUCCGGAAGAGGCGAGUGGAAUUCCUGGUGUAGCGGUGGAAUGCGCAGAUAUCAGGAGGAACACCGAUAGCGAAGGCAGCUCGCUGGGGACGGUACUGACGCUGAGGUGACGAAAGCGUGGGGAGCAAACAGG
rnacentral:rRNA from 1 species